ACGGAGGGUGCAAGCGUUAUUCGGAAUUACUGGGCGUAAAGGGCGUGCAGGCGGGAUAGCAAGUCAGAGGUGAAAGCCCAGGGCUUAACUCCAGAACUGCCUUGGAAACUGUUUUUCUUGAGUAUUGUAGAGGAAGGCGGAAUUUGCGGUGUAGAGGUGAAAUUCGUAGAUAUCGGGAGGAACACCGAUGGCGAAGGCGGCUUUCUAGGCAGCAACUGACGCUGAGACGCGAAAGCGUGGGGAGCAAACAG
rnacentral:rRNA from 1 species